AAUGAACGCUGGCGGCGUGCCUAAUACAUGCAAGUCGAGCGAAAGCACCGGAAGCUUGCUCCUCUGCUGUUAGCGGCGGACGGGUGAGUAACUCGUGGAUAACCUACCUAUAAGACUGGGGUAACUUCGGGUAAUAGGGGCUAAUAUCGGAUAAUAUUUUGAACGGCAUGGUUCAAGAGUGAAAGUCGGUCUUGCUGUCUAUUCGAGAUGGAACCGGCCUGCAUUAGCUAGUUGGUAGAGUAAGGGCUUGCCCAGGGAGUGAUGGAUAGCCGGCCUGAGAGGGUGAACGCACACCCUGUAAGUGAGACAGGGACCAGCCUCCUACGGGAGGCAGCAGUAGGGAAUCUUCCGCAAUGAGCGAGAGCCUGACGGAGCAACCCCGCGCGAGUGAUGAAUGUCUUCGGACCGGAAAACUCUGACAGUAGGAGAGAACGAAUGGGUAGGUAACUGCGCACAUCGUGACGGUACCUAAUCAGAAAGCCACGGCUAACUUCGUG
rnacentral:rRNA from 1 species